rnacentral:rRNA from 1 species
CCUACGGGGGGCUGCAGUGGGGAAUAUUGCACAAUGGGCGCAAGCCUGAUGCAGCCAUGCCGCGUGUGUGAAGAAGGCCUUCGGGUUGUAAAGCACUUUCAGCGGGGAGGAAGGCGUUAAGGUUAAUAACCUUGUCGAUUGACGUUACCCGCAGAAGAAGCACCGGCUAACUCCGUGCCAGCAGCCGCGGUAAUACGGAGGGUGCAAGCGUUAAUCGGAAUUACUGGGCGUAAAGCGCACGCAGGCGGUCUGUCAAGUCGGAUGUGAAAUCCCCGGGCUCAACCUGGGAACUGCAUUCGAAACUGGCAGGCUAGAGUCUUGUAGAGGGGGGUAGAAUUCCAGGUGUAGCGGUGAAAUGCGUAGAGAUCUGGAGGAAUACCGGUGGCGAGGGCGGCCCCCUGGACAAAGACUGACGCUCAGGUGCGAAAGCGUGGGGAGCAAACAGGAUUAGAUACCCGGGUAGUC